UCCUGCAAAUAAAACACUUUUCUCCUCAAAAUAAUCAUCAUAUCUAUCUAUUAUGGUAUUUUCAUAAACAUUUUAAGAUACAUUGUCAUGGAACUUCCAUUGUUACAUUACAUUAAUUAUUUUCAUUGCCAUUCUCUUUGCAUGAUCAUAUAUAUAGCUGACAUGAUAGUUGGGGCAAGGACACUGUUCAUUAUUAUUUUACAUGUUAUGCUAUAUCAUUUCACAUCCUGGUAGACUGUCCGAGACAUUCAUUUGUAGUCAUCAUUUUCAUUUAUGAAUCAUAACUAAAUAAAAGUGUGAUGUCAAUUAGAGUGUGGCUCUACCUGUAAGAAAAAAAAAGAGACCAAUGAGCCCAAUAAAAAGAGGCCAAAAGAUCCCACCAAAAAAAGAGAAAGAGAGAGGGGGCACACUACUAUCCUUCAUACACACUUGUGCUUGAGAGUAGCACCAUGUAUUCAUGUAGAGCGUUUUCAUAUUCCUCAUUUUACGUACUAGUGGGAGUUUUACAUUAUAAGAACUUGACUUGCAUAUUCCAUGAUGAGCUUCCUCAAAUGCUCGAGGAUAUGAGCAAGCAAUUUGAAUGUACACCCAUGUUGCAUUUGGAGAGAUCUCAUACACUUAUAGCUCUAGUGACAUUGCAUCCCCUACUCCUCGCAUCAAUAUCGAUUAUAAAACCUCUCCAUUGCGUAAUUAUUAGCUACGCUGGUGUGUGACUUUCUCAAAUUUUACCUUCUUAUAAAAAUCCCCAUCAAUAUUCUAUCUCCAACUCCUGAUACCAACGUUAGAGAUCCCGCUUUUAAGGUUGGUGAAUUCCUCAACGAGUAUGUCAACGAGGGACAUGUAGACGAGGAUCCCGGCCACGCCUUUGUGUAUGCCGCGGUUGGGUAAUCCACCACGAUUGUACUCAAAUGUUGUUCUUUGUAAUUUUUGGCAUGAGUGAAAUUUAACCCAUCNNNNNNNNNNNNNNNNNNNNNNNNNNNNNNNNNNNNNNNNNNNNNNNNNNNNNNNNNNNNNNNNNNNNNNNNNNNNNNNNNNNNNNNNNNNNNNNNNNNNGCAUCGCCUAAGUACUAAUCUUCCUUCGAGUGUGCACUUCACGUCACACUCGAGGGCUUAGCUGCGAUCACGUAUCGCCUAAGUAUUAACUUCCUCCGAGUGUGCACUUUACGUCACACUCGGGGACUUAGUUGUGAUCACGCAUCGCCUAAGUACUAAUCUUCCUUCGAGUGUGCACUUCACGUCACACUCGAGGACUUAGUUGCGAUCCUGCAUCGCCUAAGUACUAAUCGCUCCUCCGAGUGUGCUCUAUACGUUACACUCGGGAACUUAGCACUGAUCAUGAAUCACCUAGGUCCUAAUAUUCUACGAGUACACAUUAAAUGUUCAACUCCAAACAACACUCAAGCAAAAGAAUAAGUGUUUUCGUUGUGACUCCAGCAGUCUAGAAACGAUAACGGACUCGGUGCGGAUCAAGCUUACCCGCACCGAUCCAAAAGUAUGACGGCCAACAGGAGUGGCCAGAAUAUCGUACAGGCAAACACUCGGCAUACCGAGGAUAAAGUUCGAUCAUGAGUCAGUUGGGCCCGCGUCGGAACUGGAGGGUUCCACAAAGGUAUCCAGGUCGAUUCCAUCAGCAAUGCGGGUCGCAGUCUCCAGGAAUGUCUCCAUGAAGUCUUCGAAUUGAAGCUUCUUCGUGUUGGCGACUUUCAAGGCUUUCAGCUUAUCUUCCCGCACUUCUUUGCAAUGGACCCGGACCAAGGAAAGCGCCACAUCAGCACCGCAACGCGCUGCCGAUUUCUUCCAAGAUUGCACUCGGGCCAGAAUCUCCCCCAGUCGCCCCAACAGAGUCUCCAUCUUUUCCCGCGACUCGUCUUCCGGCCAAAGCUCCUUCUCAAUGCGGCCGAAGAUUUCUCUCAGUCGGUUGAUGAACGGACCCACUUUGCCUACGCGGAUAUGAGCCCGGAGUAGAUUCCGGUUGGCGUCCUUGCUGAGUGGCACAUUGUCCUUCAUGGAUCGUUCCACGGCCGCCGCUUCAGCUUCAGCGUCACCACAAAAAUCUGCCACAAACAAGCAAAUAGAAAUUACAAACCGAGUGUUCGUCACAAGAUACAACCACUCGACAAAUCAUCAGACUUACCAGCCAGACGACUCAUCAUCUGGACAGCCCAGUCGUUCACAUACUUCUCCUGAGCUGUCCAUCGUUUAUUCCGAGCAGCCAUUUGAUCGUACACUUCGGUCCUCUAUUUCUUCAGCCUCUCCACCUCCGCCACCAACGCCCUGUUUGCCUCCAACGCUUCCUCCAAGGAUUUCUCUCGAACUUCCAGCGCGUUCUACAGGCCAGCCAUGGCGAGCGUCGCGGUUUCUAGUUCACCAGCAUAUUGGUUCUUCUCAACCUUCAAGGCUUCAUAAGCGCUCCCCAUAUCACAAGUUUUCUACAAAACGAAACAAAGGGUUAUCAGCAACUUUCUCAAUACAAACUAUGUUCUUCAGACCCCUGCCGACGCAAGCAGUCGACAGCGGUCUCGGGGACUACACCCAGUGGGUUCACUAAGAGUGACCCCACUGGCAUGCACCUCAAGCAGGUCUGCCCUAUUGAGGUGCACAUUUUCACCUACGCCUCCGAGGCUAAAGCUGCUCCACCUGUGUGUAGUUUACUCUAGGGAACUCUUACCGCAAGAGUGCUCCGACUGCAGUAAGAACUUGCACUCAGAAAUCUUGUCUACGGACACGACAAAAAUAAAGACCAAAUGUAUAAAGACAAUUGUCGGUGCAAGCACUCGACAGAAGUCUCGGGGACUACACCCACUGGGUUCACUCGGAGUGAACCCAUUGCAAACAACAGACUACGACAACACCCAGUGGGUUACAAAAGAAAAGUAAGUACUUACUAGACUACUUACUCGGAUGUCGUCGCGCAGCUCCAAGCUCCGCUGGUACAAAGCCGCAACGGAGUCAUAAGCCUUCUUGGCCUCCCCGGUCAUCAGCUCCGCUUGGAUCAUGGCUCCCUUGGCCGCUCCCACCUGCUCCUCUAGGACACACCGAAUGCUGAAUUCAACAUUCGACGAACCGGGAAUUGUGGGAAGAUCCUGGGGCAUCCCAAGAUUGGCCCCAGUCAGUUCGUCGCCCACCGGCACUGGUUCGGUCGGUGGAGGCACUUCAGUCGGCGGAGCGUCGGCGGCAGGGGCAGCAGCAGGAAGAGCAGCCUCAAGGACAGGCUCCGCGGCCGCCUCGGCUCUCCCUUGCCCGUCUUCGUCCGGGUGAAUCGCCCCUGACAAGCCGAAUGGCAUGAUGGUUCAGAAAAAGAAAAGGAUAGUACAGUCUACAGGAAUAAAACACCUGACUCUCCUACAACAUACCCGACUGGGACGAGACGACGUUGUCUAUAUCCAUGGGGUCAUCCCCUUGGCGGACCGGAGAGGUUGUAGAAGUGGCGACCCUGUCAAGUGAAGCCCAUUCAACUUGUAAAGCGGGAGUCCACUCGGAUAACAUAAAAAGACGAGAGUUGGAUUCGCUUACGUGGAUGUGACGGGGAUGGCAACCCUCAUGCGCGGCAGAGCCCUCCGAGGUUUGGGCCCACUCGGUUUGGGCGCCCUGGGAGAUUGGCCUGCAGGCUCAGCGGGGGCAUCCCUGGACCUCUUCGUGCCUUGAGCACUCGGGACCGCCGGAGCGGUAGGUAGAGCACUCAACAACGCGGGGGGAGCCGAAGGGACGACAGGCUCAUGUCGACGCUUACUCCGCUGUUCUGGCGGUGGAGGCGGAGAGUCGCGCUCUUCGUCUUCUUCCUCCUCCUCGCUGUCCUCCUCCUCCGACUCCCUGCUGUCGGAGACAUAUUCAGCGCUAUCCACGCUCCCCUCCUGGCUACCUUCUUCCUCCUCCUCCUCCGGAUCCCCGUUCGAGACAGGGAAGGACCAGUUGGUCCAUUCCUACAUGAGAUUCAGUCGGAAACAUUAAGCAUGACACGGGGAUAUAAAUGAACGACUGAAAUCAAAACAGUUCGAUAUAUUCGGCUAACGCUACUCACCUGAUUCGGUGGCGGGUUGUCCGCGCUGUAAGGCACCACUCGGCGAGCUCCUUUAGGGUUCUCGCAAGGUCCCGUGAUUUGGAGCACUAUCGAGGUCACCUUCUCCUCAAGUAUGCCCACCGCGACGGUCCGAGUGGAAUCCUCGGGCCCACUGUAGAUCCACAUAGCAUGGUGGCGAGCUUGAAGAGGCUGGAUCCGCCGACCGAUGAAGACUUCCAACAGGUCAAUACCGGUGACCCCCCUCCUGACAACAUCCGCGAGUGCCUCGACCAAAGGCUGGAUGUCAUCCCUCUCGGCUUUCGAGAGGGCGAGUUGCUUGGGUGGAGCAGGGUGGUCUAGACUAAAUGGAGGCAGCCCAGUCGACGCGUUCGGACAGGCUAUGUCCUGGCAGUAGAACCACGUCGACUGCCAGUUCCUAACCGACUCGUUCAACUGGAGAGCAGGGUAGCUACUCCGACUCUUUUUCUGAAACCCUAAACCCCCGCAGAGCUGGAGGAGAUGCGUCUUGUCAUCCGACUGACUAAGACGUUUGAUGGUUUGAGAGCGGGCGGAGAAGAUAUGUUUGAAUAAGCCCCAAUGAGGGGGGCAACCGAUAAAGCAUUCGCACAGAACAAUGAAGGCAGAAAGGUGGGCAAUGGCAUUCGGAGGGAAGUGAUGGAGUUGAGCACCAAAAUGAUUCAUGAUGCCUUUGAAGAAAGGGUGGGGGGGGCAGAGAGAAACCUCGGUGAACGUGGCUGAGGAGCAAGACGCGUUCCCCCUCCCGUGGCGCCGGCUCAACCUCGUCGUCCGCCGGCAACCUCCAAGAUUUAUGGACGAGCUGGGCGUGCUCUACCAGCUCCAGCAGGUCCCCCUCCGUCAUUGUGGAGGGGAGAAAAUCUCCCUGGAUCCAUCCCGCUGGCAAUGGCCGCUGCCGCCGCUGAGCAGCCGCCGCCUUGCCCUUCUUCUUCCUUGCCUCCAUCUUACUGGUCUGGCCCUUGGUCAUGGCGGCGAUGGCAAGCUUUCGAGAAGGAUGGAAAGAGAAAGGUGUAUGAGCGCAAGAGGUGGCGGGGAAGACGGAGCAAGCAAGAGCAGAGGAUUCGGCGAGCGUAACCGAAGGGUCUCGUUGGCCAGAGUUAAAUAGAACACCGACUGAGUCGCUGGCGAGCGGGCCCGAAAUCUUAUCCGCCCAACCAGCCGCGGUGAUAUCGGCGGAAGAGUUGAAGGCGCGAGGAUCGAGGAGUCAGGCGCUACUCGAGCGCGCUGACGUCGCCCCCGCUAAGCGCGCGGAACCCGAAAUUUGAGAUCCCGGAAAAUCCGCCGCUGUCAGUUGACCGGUCGUGUCAAAAGAUGCUGCGAAAGCACUCGGUUCCCGACAGUCCGUUCCGCAGAACACAUUCACUCGGAUCAUUGGCCAGGAGAGAUAGAAUGGAUAGAGGCAAGCAACGCCCAAGCCGAACCUAGUCCAGUCGGAUCUGAGCAUCGAGCACUGCUUUGACGUUUCAACCCCAAUCCAUUCGGGGACUAAUGAUGGGGUCAUAGUCCUAGGGUAGGGUCAUAGGCCUGUCCUACAGGUCCUACCCAAGGACUACCCCACGCAAGGGACAGGACCUUAAGUAUGCCCGACUGUAUUAAGGUGUCCCCAUCAUCCAGUCGGUAACGGGCCCAAAACCAUCCAGUCGGAGACUAAGACUCGGAGGACACCGGACCUACCGACUGGAUACACUCGGUGCGUCGUAACCUCCCUGGAGGGAAACUGCCGUAAGUUUCCGGGUGCAUUAACUAGCAUUUAUAGCAUACGUUACCUGUAACGCAUGGAUUCAAUCGCCACUACUCCGCCCUUGAAUCAGAACCGUUGUGGAGGGCAGCGCACUCUAUAUAAGCCGCCCUCCCACACUGGUAAAAGGGUUAGAAAAACAUUGUACUCCAUAUUGCACUCGGUAACAAGCUCCAGGAGCACUGAGACAUAGGGCUAUUACCUCCACCGUAGACGGGCCUGAACUCAUAAAACCUUGCCGUAGCUAGGACUCUGCCCAUCUCAUUCGUACCCUACACAUCUACUGUCAGGCUUAUACCCACGACAAUAUCAUCCUUCUACAUUAAUUCCAUAUCACCGUUGGGCAGAAAUGGAAAUAAUGCAUAUAACUCAUAAACAAUGUGAUGAUAGUAUUCUUACUGAACAACUUUGCUAAGNNNNNNNNNNNNNNNNNNNNNNNNNNNNNNNNNNNNNNNNNNNNNNNNNNNNNNNNNNNNNNNNNNNNNNNNNNNNNNNNNNNNNNNNNNNNNNNNNNNNUAAUAGUUUGGAUAGUCCGAAUUAUUAAUUAUGAAAAUAGAAAAAAUUGAAACUAUAUUCGAAAUCAUAGAGAAAAUUCAAGCUAAAUUCUCAUUUGAAUUUAGAUUGAAUUUUCCCUAUAAUUCCUAAUAUAGUUUCAAUUUUCAGUGAGUUUAGGCCCGUAAGCCUGCUUUAGAGAGGAGCUCGAUGGAGAAGCUCCGACGGGGCUUAUAAACAAGUGUUAGUCCCCCUCACUGGGCGAGGUGGGACUAAACUUAUCGUACAGCCGAGGAGGGGCUUUAGUCCCGGGUGGAGCCACGCCCCGGGACUACAGACACCCUUUAGUCCCGGUUGGAGCCACGCCCCGGGACUAAAGACCCCUUUUCGGCAGGCGAGGAGGCGGGAAACGAGGGGCUUUAGUCACGGGCCGUGGCUCCACCCGGGACUAAAGGGGGUCUUUAGUCCCGGUUCGAGCCACGCACCGGGACUAAAGAUCCACCUAUAUAAGCGGGACUUCGAAAAAUUCCAAUCAAAAUCGUCCAUUUCUCUUCUUCUUCCUCUCGUUCUCCUGCCUGGCGCGGCACAGCGACGAACUCGACGACGCCGUCAGGCUGCCCGACGUCCUUCUCGCCGCCGCCUGCCGUCGCCGUCGUCCUCCUCGUCGCCGCCGUCCUCCUCGCCGCGCGCCGUCGACACCUCCGGCCGGUAAGCCCCCCGCCCCCUCCUCCCCAACACUCCGGCUAGUAGAAGAAAAGAAGAAAAAGGAGAAGAAAGGAAGAAAAAAGAGAAGAAAAUAAGAAAAAGGAGAAGAAAAGAAGAAAAAGAAAAAUAUUUUUUUGUCAUUUAAUUCCUAUUGUUAUUAGGUUUGUGCUAGAUUAUUAGGGUUAGUAAUAUUUAGAAUUAGGUUAGGGUUACAAGAAGAAGAAAUAUAAACAAAAAUAAGAAAAUAAGAUUAGGAAAAAUGAAAAUAAGAAGAGGAGGAGAAGAAAAGAAGAAAAAGGAGAAUAAGAAGAAGAGGAGAGGAGAAGAAGAGGAAAAAUAGAAGAAGAGGAGAAGUAGAAGAAGAGAAAAAAUUAGAACAGGAGGAGAGGAGAAGUAGAAGAAGAGAAGAGGAGAAGUACUACAAGAAGAGGAGAAGUAGAAGUAGAAGAAGAAGUAGAAGAAGAGGAGAAAUAGAAGAAGAGGAAAAAUUAAUUUAGGGUUACAAGAAGAAGAAAUAUAUUUUUUUGUCAUUUAAUUUUGCUAUUGUAUAGUGUAUAUGCUUAAGUGUUAAUAGUGUUUCUUAGAUUAUUGUGUAAUUUUGCUAUUGUAUAUGCUUAAGUGUUAAUAGUUUAAUUUUGCUAUUGUAUAUGCUUAAGUGUUAAUAGUUUAUUUUUAGCAAGAAAAUUAAUAGAACUAGUUUAUUUUUUUAGUUCAUUUUAUGAUGCCUAUCCCGCAUCCUGGUCGUCGACUCGGCGGAGGACACCUGCUUGAUCAGAGGGCCCCUGUCCGGGACUGGGCUCCGCCCGGCUGGUAUUGGGAGGUGCUAGCUUCCGGGGGGCGUAGGUUGGUGAGGAGCCAGCCCGUCGUUGACCCGAUCCUUGUUUGGUGGCGGUCGCGUGGGCCAGUGAGGGUGUCGAGGCUUCCGGACACUGGGGAGGUGGUACGUCACCGUGUCAGCGAGGAGGAUGAGCACGUCCGUCGCUACAUGGUUGCGUUGGAGGGCAGGUUCGAGCAUACCUGACAGGUUCUUCGGGGAUCUCACUGGAGCUAUGAUCCUGUGAUGGUUCCUUCUCUUUGGGUGUCCACCGCCCGCGCCGAUACCCGUCGGGCGCUACGGUUCUAGAUGUAUCAGUGAUGCUAUAUGUAUGAUAGUAUUCGAGGAGUAUUAGUGAUAAUAUUCGACGAUGUACGGACAAAAGUGAUGAUGUAUUAGCUUAUAAUUGAAUGCAUGCUAAUUUGAAUACUACUUUAAUUUACGAUUUGGUUUUGCUUAUUGAAUGCUCAAAUUGGAAAAGUACUCCUACUUUGAAUACUAUGUAGAAAUCUAGGAGUCCCGGGUGGAGCCCCGACCCGGGACUUAAGUUGUUUUGGAACGGAGUUCCUGAUAGAAUAAUUCUUUUUUGGUACAAAGGUUAAGAGAAUCCGUUUUUUGCAGAACUAUGGAUCCACAUAUCAGGAACCUCGAAGAGGAAGAAAUUCUCGACGAUAUAAUCAAAGACGGCCCCGACGUUGAACCAGCUGAAUCUCCGUCGUCAUAUCUAAACCAGGACAUUGGAAUGGAGGUCGAGCGACACGAAGAUGAAGCCGAUGGGGCAAGAGAUAGGUCCAAUGACGGAGAAGGUGAUAGCUCCACUGAUGGAGAAGCCGGUGAAGAAAUAAUAAAGUCCGGCGAGGUAUACAUAUGAAGUUCUACAAUCACUUGCAAUAUGUGAAAAAUAUUGGAUAUAGCUCUAUAUUGUAUACAUAUACAUUCAUUUGACGAAUGUUUCUCCCUCUUAGGCCUCCACAUCGAGCAAAACUACGAAACGAGGCCCGACUAGAAAGUUGGAUGCACGGACGCAUUACACCUUUGAGGUGAUAUUUCCUACGGGCGAACCCAAGCUUCCUAAGAAUGCUGCUGACACAUUCAAGAAGCAAUGCGGAGUUCUCGUUAGGGAUCACGUCCCGAUCAGCGUUCGAGAGUGGAACAAGCGCAAAGGGGCAGCCGAUAGUGACUAUGUCGCCGAAAGGUACAAAGAUAAUCUUUGGAAUGAUCUCAUGUCACAUUUCAACCUGCCAGAAUGUGAGAAUGAAGACGCCGCAGACAAACUGAGGGCCAAAGUCAAGCAGUGGACUCUGAAGAAGAUGGCCGAACUGUUCCGUAGCUGGAAGAAGAAGCUAUGGAAAACUAUCUGAAGACAAAGAAAGUGCGAGUAUUCGAGGGAUAUCUAGCCAAGCAGGCGAAUCACUGGAAGGCAUUUCAAGAAUACAAGGAGUCAGAAGAUGCCCAGGCAUUAUCAGAAAAGAACAAGAUAAAUGCCAACAAGAAGAAAUAUCACCACAAGCUGGGGCCAGGGGGCUAUGAGACUGCCAUCCAAAAGUGGGAUAAGAAAGAGCAAGAUCUGCUAGAUAAAGGCAUCGUACCUGAACCACUCCGUGAUGAGUGGGAAUUGAGAGCAAGAAAUUGGUUCCUUGUGCAUGAUGGUUCGUACGACGAAGAAACAAGGGACCUCAUCUGCAGUGACGGUCUUAGGAUACCCAGGGAGAAUUGGAAAAGGAUAGUGAAAUAAAUUAAGGAGGGAAAAAGAAAGUUCACUUCAGAUAGAGAUAAAGAUUUGCUCACACUGGUCCUCGGCAAUGACGAACAUGGAGGAUGAACGCAAGGCUUCGGUCCUUCUUACCCGUGGUGGCUUGGGUUUGCCAGAGACCAAGACACUUGCAGAAGCCGAGAGAGAGCAAAGAAGCGGCAAAGAAUGAGGAGAAUGACAAGUUCAACCAGUUGCGUGCCAGGAUUAACGAGCAACAGAAGCAGAUUGAUGAGCUUAGAGGAGUACUGCGCCAGGAAGAUCCUGCACUUGAUAUUACCGGCGCCCCAUCUAAGCGGAAAAGCAGCGUGGCUGAAUCUGAGGCCCCGCCCGACGAUGCAUGAAGAAUGAUAGAGGGCGGUCCCGACUACCCCGUGGAUGGAGUCAAGGAGUCAACAUCAUGUGAACUCCAUCAGAAAUUCAAGAACAUAUCCAUGAAGGUGGCCGUCGGANNNNNNNNNNNNNNNNNNNNNNNNNNNNNNNNNNNNNNNNNNNNNNNNNNNNNNNNNNNNNNNNNNNNNNNNNNNNNNNNNNNNNNNNNNNNNNNNNNNNGGGAAGCCAGCAAAUCUCCAACCGAGAUACCACAUUCAUCCGCCAACUCCUUUGCUUUUUCAAAAGCUUGCCCCUGCACCGGAGGGGGAACAUUCUCGGUUAACACCUUGAGGGGUGGGAUCGACUGUUUGGCCUGUUGUCCAAGCUGCGGAACGUCUGAUUUUUUCUUGCUUGUAGUUGAACUUGAUUUCCUCCCACUUGCACUUGCACGUGACCUGCUCUUUUUCACUUUCUUCUGCAAUGUGCGUGUAUAGUCAUCAGGCUUAUAGUGCAAGUCAUACUGUGAUGGAGUGGUUAUGAAGUCUUUUGCCCAUGCUAUGUUCUUCUCGGUGUAUUUCGGGCGGGGCUCGGGUUCCUUCCUUUUCAUCUGCGCAUCAUGCUGUUCCUUUGCUAUCCUGGCGUUUUCCUCGGGGGUACGAUCAUAAGGUCUGAUAGGAAGAUUAGCAUGAGGUACCUUUGGGAGGGGCGACAGUUUGCGCAUUGGGAAGCUCCGUUCCUUAGAAAUCAUCGAUGAAGCGUUCUUGCUGGCACGCUUCCGCUUAGUAUCAUGUGCCGGCGGCGGCGGAGGCGGACGACCCAAGUCCGGCGGCGGUGAUCGAGAUGGACUCGUGUUGUGCUGGCCGACGUCAUGUGGAGGGCUUGGAGGUAAUGGAGGUGUAGGUGACCUGCGACGACUCGGAGGCGGUGUUGUCAUUGGGGCCGAGCCUGGAAGCUUGAUGUAGUUCUUGUCCCAUAGGAUGACUCCACCCAGUACUUCUCCGAGUGUCCUCUCAUCUUCGGGUCCAGCUAUGUCGAGCUCCAUAUCAUUAAACCCCGUCAUGAUUUCAUCCACCCCGACUUUAGCAAAGCCAUCUGGACUCACGGCCAUGCCUGUGUGCAUCAGGACUAGAAGGUAAAGCUUGUCCGACAACCACCUUCAUGGAUAUGUUCUUGAAUUUCUGAUGGAGUUCACAUGAUGUUGACUCCUUGAUUCCAUCCACGGGGUAGCCGGGACCACCCUCUAUCAUUCUUCGUUCAUCGUCGGGCUAGGCCUCAGAUUCAGCCACGCUGCUUUUCCGCUUAGAUGGGGCGCCGGUAAUAUCAACUGUAGGAUCUUCCUGGCGCGAUAUUCCUCUAAGCUCAUCAAUCUGCUUCUCUUGCUCGUUAAUCCUGGCAAGCAACUGGUUGAACUUGUCAUUCUCCUCAUCCUGCUGCCGCUUCUUUGCUCUCUCUCGGCUUCUGUAAGUGUCUUGGUCUCUGGCAAACCCAAGCCACCACGGGUAAGAAGGACCGAAGCCUCGCGUUCGUCCUCCAUGUUCGUCAUUGCCGAGGACCAGUGUGAGGAAAUCUUUAUCUCUAUCUGUAGUGAACUUUCUUUGUCCCUCCUUAAUUUCUUUCACUAUCCUUUUCCAAUUCUCCCUGGGUAUCCUAAGAUCGUCAUUGCAGAUGAGGUCCCCUCUUCUUUCGUCGUACGACCCACCAUGCGCAAGGAACCAAUUUCUUGCUCUCAAUUCCCACUCAUCACGGAGUGGUUUAGGUACGACACCUUUAUCUAUCAGAUCUUGCUCUUUCUUAUCCCACUUUGGGAUGGCAGUCUCAUAGCCCCCUGGCCCCAGCUUGUGGUGAUAUUUCUUCUUGUCGGCAUUUAUCUUGUUCUUUUCUGAUAAUGCCUGGGCAUCUUCUGACUCCUUUUACUCUUGAAAUGCCUUCCAGUGAUUCGCCUGCUUGGCUAGAUACCCCUUGAAUACUGGCACUUUCUAUGUCUUCAGAUAGUUUUUCCAUAGCUUCUUCUUCCAGCUACGGAACAGUUCGGCCAUCUUCUUCAGAGUCCACUGCUUGACUUUGGCCCUCAGUUUGUCUGCGGCGUCUUCAUUCUCACAUUCUGGCAGGUUGAAAUGUGACAUGAGAUCAUUCCAAAGAUUAUCUUUGUACCUUUCGGCGACAUAGUCACUAUCGGCUGCCCCUUUGCGCUUGUUCCACUCCCGAACGCUGAUCGGGACGUGAUCCCUAACGAGAACUCCGCAUUGCUUCUUGAAUGUGUCAGCAUCAUUCUUAGGAAGCUUGGGUUCGCCCGUAGGAAAUAUCACCUCAAAUGUGUAAUGCGUCCGUGCAUCCAACUUUCUAGUCGGGCCUCGUUUAGUAGUUUUGCUCGAUGUGGAGGCCUAAGAGGGAGAAACAUUCGUCAAAUGAAUGUAUAUGUAUACAAUAUAGAGCUAUCUCCAAUAUUUUUCACAUAUUACAAGUGAUUGUCGAACUUCAUAUGUAUACCUCGCCGGACUUCUCCUCUUCACCGGCUUCUCCAUCAGUGGAGCUAUCACCUUCUCCGUCAUUGGACCUAUCUGCUGCCCCAUCGGCUUCAUCUUCGUGACGCUCGACCUCCAUUCCAACGUCCUCGUUUAGAUAUGACAACGGAGAUUCAGCUGGUUCAACGUCGGGGCCGUCUUUGAUUAUAUCUUCCAGAAGUUCUUCCUCUUCGAGGUUCCUGAUAUGUGGAUCCAUAGUUCUGCAAAAAACGGAUUCUCUUAACCUUUGUACCAAAAACCAAAGUAGGAGUACUUUUCCAAUUUGAGACUCCUAGAUUUCUGCAUAGUAUUCAAAGUAGGAGUACUUUUCCAAUUUGAGCAUUCAAUAAGCAAAACCAAAUCAUAAAAUAAAUUAGUAUUCAAAUUAGCAUGCAUUCAAUUAUAAGCUAAUACAUCAUCACUUUUGUCCGUACAUCAUCGAAUAUUAUCACUAAUACUCCUUGAAUACUAUCAUACAUAUAUCAUCACUAAUACAUCUAGAACCGUAGCGCCCGACGGGUAUCGGCGCGGGCGGUGGACACCCAAAGAGAAGGAACCAUCACAGGAUCAUAGCUCCAGUGAGAUCCCCGAAGAACCUGUCAGGUAUGCUCGAACCUGCCCUCCAACGCAACCAUGUAGCGACGGACGUGCUCAUCCUCCUCGCUGACACGGUGACGUACCACCUCCGCGGAGUCCGGAAGCCUCGACACCCUCACUAGCCAACGCGACCGCCACCAAACAAGGAUCGGGUCAACGACGGGCUGGCUCCUCACCAACCUACGCCCCUCGGAAGAUAGCACCUCCCAGUACCAGCCGGGCGGAGCCCAGUGCCAGACAGGGCCCCUCUGAUCAAGCAGGUGUCCUCCGCCGAGUCGACGACGAGGAUGCGGGAUAGGCAUCGUAAAAUAAACUAAAAAAAAAACUAGUUCUAUUAAUUUUCUUGCUAAAAUAAACUAUUAACACUUAAGCAUAUACAAUAGAAAAAUUAAACUAUUAACACUUAAGCAUAUACAAUAGCAAAAUUAAGCAAUAAUCUAAGAAACACUAUUAACACUUAAGCAUAUACACUAUACAAUAGCAAAAUUCUUCCUUUUCUUAUUUUCAUUUUUCUUCUCCUCCUCUUCUUUUCUUGAUCUCUUCUCCUCCUCUUCUUUUCUUCUUUUCUUAUACACUAUACACAAUAUACACUAUAGCAAAGUUCCUCCUCUCCUUAUACACUAUACACUAUAUACACUAUACACUUAAGCAUAUACACUAUACAAUAUACACUUUUUCUUCUUUUCUUCCCCUCCUCUUCUUAUUUUCAUUUUUCCUAUUCUUAUUUUCUUAUUUUUGUUCAUAUUUCUUCUUCUUGUAACCCUAACCUAAUUCUAAAUAUUACUAACCCUAAUAAUCUAGCACAAACCUAAUAACAAUAGGAAUUAAAUGACAAAAAAAACCUUUUUCUUUUUCUUCUUUUCUUCUCCUUUUCUUCUCCUUUUUCUUCCUUUCUUCUAUAUAUACUGGCCGGAGUGUUGGGGAGGAGGGGGCGGGGGGCUUACCGGCCGGAGGUGUCGACGGCGCGCGGCGAGGAGGACGGCGCGGAGGACGGCGCGACGGCGAGGGGGACGGCGCGACGACGAGGAGGACGGCGCGGCGGCGAGGAGGACGGCCGACGGCGAGGAGGACGGCAGGCGGCGGCGAGCAGGACGACGGGCAGCCUGAUAGCGUCGGUUAGUUCGUCGCUGUGCCGCGUCGGGUAGGAGAACGAGAGGAAGAAGAAGAGAAAUGGACGAAUUGGGUUGGAAAUUUUUGAAGUCCCGCUUAUAUAGGUGGAUCUAUAGUCCUGGUGCGUGACUCGAACCGGGACUAAAGACCCCCUUUAGUCCCGGGUGGAGCCACGACCCGGGACUAAAGGCCUCUUUUCGGGCAGACCAGGAGGCGGGAAGCAGGGGGUCUUUAGUCCCGGGGCGUGGCUCCAGCCGGGACUAAAGGGGGUCUUUAGUCCCGGGGCGUGGCUCCACCCGGGACUAAAGCCCCUCCUCGGCUGCACGAUAAGUUUAGUCCCACCUCGCCAAGCGAGGGGGAAAACACUUGUUUACAAGCCCCGUCGCAGCUUGUCCAUCGAGCUCCUCUCUAAAGCAGGCUUACGGGCCUAAACUUACUGAAAAUUGAAACUAUAUUCGAAAUUGUGGAGAAAAUUCAAUCUGAAUUGAAAGUGAAUUCAGGUCGAAUUUUGUCCAUGAUUUCUCAUAUAGUUUCAAUUUUUCUAUUUUCGAAAUUAAUUAUUUUGACUAUCCAAACUAUUAACUUAUUUUGUUAUUUUCAANNNNNNNNNNNNNNNNNNNNNNNNNNNNNNNNNNNNNNNNNNNNNNNNNNNNNNNNNNNNNNNNNNNNNNNNNNNNNNNNNNNNNNNNNNNNNNNNNNNNGAACUCCAUACUUUUUGCGUGUUCAAAAUGCACCAUUCAAAGGCACAUCACAAAAUGGACAAUCUCUCUCGAAGUAGAAGCGACCCCCACAAUAAGAGACAACAUUCUUCUUCUCUCAUAUAGGGUGGACACUAGCUCACCUGAUUUUUCAAUCGUCGAUGAUGGUCGCUACUCCUACUUCCCCUAGUGCAUAACCAAUAUCUAGCACAAGGAGAAGAAGGAGAAGCGACCCCCACAACAAAAGUGGUUCCGCGGCACGCCACGUGGUUCCGCUGCACGCCACGUGGUUUCGCUGCACGCCACAUGGGACUAAUGGUCUUUAAUUUUUAAAUGACUGUUUUAAUCAAAAACAGAUCUGUUACAAAAGGGAUUUCAUUUUUUGAACUUAUUUGAACUGAAGACUUUUUGUAUAUAUAUGUGGUCGAAAUGCAUGAUACCAUGGAGUUAGAAAGGGCUAAACCAUUCAAAAGUAGCAAAUGAAGUUAGAAAGGGCUAAACCAUUCAAAUUUGGAAACUAUAAUGGCACAAACAGAAACUAGACAUAUAUAAAUUGGUCCAAGCAGUACAUGAUACUAGUCCAAACAGUACAUAAUAAUAGCUACCAUAGAUAUAUAUACAAGUGUUCGACGUUGAGAACACUACUCGUCUGAAUCGUCUGAAUCAGAAUGUCCACCUUCCUCGAGGUGACGCUGGCCAUAGUUGACGACUCGAAUCUUGCGGUGCAACUCGUAUGAAACGUAUGCAUCUUUUGCUGCAUACUCAAUGUUGAUAGGAUCAAGUGGGCCCUUCUCCCAAAGUUUGGGCUAAAACUUUGGGAAACUGGUCUUCAUAUCACCAUAUCCCUCGUCGAUCAAGGCAACUGCCAUAUGAGCCAUCGAAGUCCUGUCAUGUCGAAGCCUGAAUACCGUUUGGAGAUUAAUGAGGCAACCAGCUGGUAUCUCAAUACCGAAGCUGUGCCUCAUCUUCAGCUUGUCGUUCCUUAUGUCAACGGAAGCAAAAGUGAUGCCGCUGCGAAGGAAGUCCAUGAGUUCUGGACAAUCCUUGUCACUCGUGCAACAGAAACAAAUUAAAAUGGAACAACUGUUACAUACUGCUGCAAUAAGGAAACAUGUUUCACUACAACUAAAGAGAAAAUUAUCUUUAGGAUUCAAAUAGAACAUAUGCAAUGGAACCUAGAGAGAUCACUAUAGCUAUCCAAUGGAACCUAGAGAGAUCACUAGCUAUAUGCAAUUUUCAUGACUAUGACAUAUCAUAUUGCUAUCCAAUGGAACCUAGAGAGAUCACUAGCUAUAUUUAAUUUUCAUAACCUUGGAUCAAAGAACACCGCAUAAAAUUGUAUCACUACAACUAUGAUUUCAAUGGAACAUAUUGAACCAAUCAGAUUUUUCAGAUUAUGGAACACUAUUCCAAUCAGAUUGUGUUCCCUUCAACUAAUCAAAAUUGUUUCACUACAACUAUUUGAAGCGAACCAACUAUGAUUCCAAUGGAACAUAUUAAACACUAGUUGAUUCUAAUAUGAUUUUUCAGAUUAUGGAACACUAUUCCAAUCAGAUUGUGUUCCCCUUCAACUAAUCAAAAUUGUUUCACUACAACUAUUUGAAGGGAACCAACUAUGAUUCCAAUGGAACAUAUUAAACACUAGUUGAUUCUAAUACGAUUUUUCAGAUUAUGGAAAACUAUUCCAAUUAGAUUGUGCUCCCCUUCAAGUAAUCAAAAUUGUUUCACUACAACUAUUUGAAGGUAACCAACUAUGAUUCCAAUGGAACAUAUUAAACAUUAGUUGAUUCUAAUACGAUUUUUCAGAUUAUGGAACACUAUUCCAAUUAGAUUGUGCUCCCCUUCAACUAAUCAAAAUUGUUUCACUACAACUAUUUGAAGGGAACCAACUAUGAUUGAAACAAAUAAACUUACAAUGUCAUUAUCUUGGAUCAAAGAAAGCCUCAAAACUUACCUCGCCCAUUGGAAGAUCAAGACAUGGCUUGCGAAGCAUAUUUGGAUGACGACAACACCGCGUUGAUCGGCCGUGUACUCCAGAUCAAGCCCGAAGAACUUCUCAUGAUCCGCUGCAUGGUCAAACCAUCAUUCCUUCAACUGUUGAAGAAAAAAUGGCACCUCCCUGCUCAGGUUCGUGUACACGACACGGAGCUUCGUCGUGCCAUGCGCGACCACCUCAUGAAAGCUAGUUGGCAUGGUAGAAGAAGAGAAGGGAAGAAGAGAGGAGAAGAACAGAGAGGGCGACGCGAGAGAGAAGAAGAACAGAGAAAUGGCUACUGUACGCUUCGGUUCAUGCUUUUCAUCGCCCGGAACGACGCGGGAUGCAAACCGUUUGGGCCUUUAAUCCUGGGUUGAGCCACCAACCGGGACUAAAGAGGUAUACCAAACGGUUGCCACCACUACGGCAGGCCACGUGUUAGGCUUUUAGUCCCGGGUUGAGCCACCAACCGGGACUAAAGAGGUAUACCAACCGUCGCCACAACCACGGCAGGCCACGUGUUAGGCCUUUAGUCCCGGGUUGAGCCACCAACCGGGACUAAAGGGGGAUACGAACGGUUGCCACCACCACUGCCCGCCGCGUAGCCCUUUAGUCCCGGUUUGGGGCACGAACCGGGACUAAAGGCUCCUUACGGGCCGGGACUAAAGCCUCGAGGGAGGCAUUGAGAAUUGGGGCGACGUGGCCGGGCCUUUAGUCCCGGCCCAGAGGCAGGCCGGGACUAAAUGGUCCAGGCCAAAGGCCCGUUUUCUACUAGUGCUUUAUUACCGUUUGUCGGAUGUUCGAAUGACAGACCCCGAUACUAUUUCUUUUAAAUUAAAUUUCUCUAGUUUAUGUUGUUCAUUAUAAUGUAUAAAAAGCAUAUGACUCAACAGAUGAUAGAAAAGGUGAUGUGAUCAAUUGGCUAGCAACUAAUAUGCGUGGGCUCGAACCGAGUCACUGUUUGGAACCCCACGGCAUCCCUUUGAUUUUUAUUUUACAGUUUUUGUUGUUUCUUUCUGAUGGCCAUUGUGUAAGAAAGAAAUAACUCCAAUCGGGGUUAGUAGUGGAUUAAUGUGCUGCUCGGCUUGUGCUCGUUAAGGCUCGGCUCAUUAAGCUCGUUAAGCUUAACAAGCUAAUGUGGUUUUGUUCAUUUAAUGCCCAUUAAGCUCGUAAUAUGAUCACUAACAUAGUAUGAUAUGUUAUGGUCUGCAACAUGAGAGUGUGGGUGUAUUUUUUUAAAGGAAGAUUGUGACUACAUGAGGAGGUACAUUGGUUUGUUGCAUCCUAUGGGUUAGGAACUUAGGAUUGGUUGAGGUACCAGAAAAAUAUUGUCACAUAAGAUAAGAAUAUCCGUUGUGUUGUACUAACAAUAAGAUAAGAAUGUAUGUUGUGUUNNGUUCCUCCCCCCAACACACACACACCCCGCGCGGUGACCCCGUCCCUCCCCUCCACCCCUGAGCGCAGCGACGGCGGCCCUCCCCCCCCCCCGAGCGCGGCAGCGGCGGCGGCUCUCCCCUCCNNNNNNNNNNNNNNNNNNNNNNNNNNNNNNNNNNNNNNNNNNNNNNNNNNNNNNNNNNNNNNNNNNNNNNNNNNNNNNNNNNNNNNNNNNNNNNNNNNNNUCCUUCCUCUAAUAAGCUCCGUGCCACCGACGUUCGGGGCAGCAAGUGCGACGCGAGGCCCAUGUCCUCUCUCUCUCUCUUUCUUCUCCCCUUCUGCUAUUUUCCCUCUCUAUGAAUUCUCUCUUCUCUUGUUCUAUUUCAGACAUAUGCAAUGCCAUGGACGAGCCCCUGCAGCCCCCAUUCGCCGGAGCUCCCCAUCACCCCGCUCCCGAUCCGGCGAUCUGCAGCCGGAUCCCGAGUCCCCCAGCCGGAUCCGGCCAGUCCUAGCAGGCCCUUCCAUUCCCGGCCUCCGAGCUCGCCGUCUUCGCUGGAGCAUCGUGCCGUCGGCCCUAGUUCCCCAUUGUGAGUAGCCCUCCCGAUGUGUUACUGGAUGGUGAUCCGUUCUGCUGUUUGGGUUAAUUAGUGUAGCCGCUUGUUUACACCACGAGCAGGGCCUCAGCCGAGCUGGUUAGUGUAUUCAGCGUCUACCGAAAGGGUCCUGGAUUCGAUUCCAGAGCGCCCCAGUAUUUUGGUUGGUUUUUUUUCUGUUUUAUCUGGUAUAUAUAGCCUUGCGUGCAUACCUCUUUUAGAGCCGAAUCCCGUUGAUCAUCACGUGCUCAUUGUAGUCUAGCUGGUCUAUGUGUUUGACUGCAACUAGGAGGUAUUGGGUUCGAUUCCCACGUAUGGCAAUUUUUUGUCAUCUUUUCCCUUUUGUCAGGCACACACACUCAGCUCCUUGGACCAAUUUCAAUCCUGGGCCACUGCUGCUUGCAGUAAUUCGGCCUUGUUGUUUUUUCUUCUUUUUUUUACUGCUUACCUCAGGACAAUUUACUAGUUGUGUAGAAAGAUGCAUGUCUUUAAAAUGUCAAUAUUUUUUUUCAAACCGUGCAUCGAAUCGAAAUAAGUUAGAUAUGUAACUUGGCUGGAAUUUCAUGUAGAAUAAUAUUUUUCUAACUUUCAUGCAUAAUUAGAACUGUUUAGUGUGUUGUUGCAUCGGUUUGCGUGUCGACGUGUUGGAAACGGUUUAGGUCGUAACUAUUUGUCCGUAGCUCCGUUGGAGAUGAGCCAUAUAUGUAAAUGGUCCAGAACGACGAGUAGAAUCACGUGAACCAAUUUGUUUUGCUGUUUAACAAACUUAAAAAUGUGAUUAGGAUAAAUCUGGACAGAGUUAGAUUUUAACACGUGGGGUCAUUUCGGAGAUGCUAUAUGUCGUUUCCGGCCUCAUUUAAAAUGCCUAGGUAGUUUAAUUGUGCUUCACCUCUUGCCAUGUUUAACCACAUUUAAUAUGGCCGUGUAUUUAAUCGGGAUAGAACUAAAUAAACAAACGUGGAGGUUCGUCAAUAUGCAACUCGUUGCAUGUUGAACUUCACUUAAUGUGUAGUGUUUGAUUGUCUGAAUUGUCAUGCCGUGACUUGCAUGUAUCCAGCUGCUCAUGCAUCAUUUGUGUUGUGCAUCGUGUGGUGAAUUCCGUGUGUUGAUUUGUGUUUCCGGUUUGCUUCGUCUCGAUAGAGUUCCGCAGCGUGCCGGAUUGUGAGGACCCGUUCGACUACGUCGGUUCGUCUGCUUCACGGAGUCAUUCUUCUUCCAAGCGGGAUCUCAGGCAAGAUGAUCAUUGUUGUCAACCAUUAUACGUGGUGAUACGUGGAAGUGAAGUUUGAGAAGCUUAUUACCCUUGGGUACUUGGUACCCUAGAAAUUGUUCUAUGUGGAUGCUUUGGCGUCCUAGAAGCUUGGUGGUGCCUUGGAGCUCAAUCAUUGUGCUGUAAAGUUUCGGGUAAGCGUCGGGGUCUCCAAUUAAGUUGUGGAGAUUGCCCCGAGCAUUUGAGAUCACCUCGAAGCCAUAUGCCAUUGUGGUGAAGCUUCAUGGUGUCGUUGGGAGCUUCCAAUUAAGUUGUGGAGAUUGACCCAACCUUGUUUGUAUGGGUUCGGUGACCGCCCUCAAGGGUCCCUUAGUGGAAUCACGACAUCUUGCAGUGUGCGAGGACGUGAUGAGAUUAUGGUGGCCUUAGUGGCAUCUUGGGGAGCAUUGUGCCUCCACACCGCUCCAAACGGAGAUUAGCAUAUGCAAGAAUGUGAACUUCGGGAUACAUCAUCGUCCCCGCGCGCCUUGGUUAUCUCUUACCCGAGCUCUUUAUUUUUGUCGUUUACUUUGUGAUAGCCAUAUUGUUUAUUGUUAUAUAUCUUGCUNNNNNNNNNNNNNNNNNNNNNNNNNNNNNNNNNNNNNNNNNNNNNNNNNNNNNNNNNNNNNNNNNNNNNNNNNNNNNNNNNNNNNNNNNNNNNNNNNNNNAGAUUUGCUGGCUUCCCAAGACGACAGGAUACCCAAGGCUGUGGUAGCCCCUAAGCCACAGUUUGUCAUGGGAGAGCCUUUGGUCAGCAAAGAUGAUCUCCCAACAAAUAUGCGUUACUUGCAUAAAUGAUACUUAAGAGAAUCAAAGAAUGGGAGAACGAUGAUCAUGCUGAGUGUCCCACGGGAGUACUACGGCUGCUCCGAAGAAAUCCAUAUCGACUUUGAUGAACUCUUCCAUAUGUACAAUGGCGACGCCCUCGACAAAUCGCUUAUGAGUUGCUAUUGUCUGUAAGUUUUUCAAUUCGUUGUCUACAUAUAACUUGUUUAGUUAUUUCAAUUCAUUGUCUAUAUAUAACUUGUACUCUAUUAUGCAGAAUGAAGAUUCUGGAUUGUAAAAGUAAGAGCAUCCUAAAUAUUGGGUUUAUUGACCCAGAUAAAAUACAUAUAGCGACGCUAACUGAUAAACCCAAGGAGACGGAGGAAAACCUUCUAAGGUUUCUAAUAGAUCAAAAUUUAUGUGACCACAUACUGUUUCCAUACAACUUCAGGUGAGGGUCUUUACUCUGUUGUAUCCAUUCACUUAUAAGUGUAAUUGAUAAGUUACUGACACACACACACACACACAUAUAUAUAUAUAUAUACAUGUGCAGCUUCCAUUGGAUUCUGUUGGACAUUCAAAUUGAUAAGGGAAGAGUUGAUACCUUCGACCCAUUAUCGAGACCCUUGGAACAGUUCCAAAGCCUGCAGGACAUGCUCCAAGGAUAAUUUUAAUCAUUCUUGUGCUCUAUCGGUCUCUUUCGAUGAUUUUCUGAUAUAUCAAUUAAUGAAAAACUUAGCAAAUCAUUAUCCUUGUCGGGCAGGGUUUGGAAGCGGUUCAAGUGCGUGACUCCCGGUAACUUUCCUGAGAAGCUGACCUUUAGAGCGGCUCAGGUAAGUAGUAGUAUGAUAUACUUCUAUUAAUUUUCAAUACAUUUAUGAUGCUAGAUUAUUAUUUUGAUUAUAUAUAUUCUAUUCUCGUAAAGUGCGACCAACAGCCACGGGGAACGCAUCUAUGCGGAUACUAUGUUUGCGAGACCAUUCGCACGUUUACCUCUGAGUUCAAGGAUCACAGAUUCGACGUAAGCAAUGAACAUUCACACCUCUAUAUUUACCCGUCAUUCUUUGCUAUCAUGAUUGAUAUUCAUAUUCAUCUCCUCUUCUUAUAUAGCACACGACCAUGAGGACGAAGGUCCUACCAGAGCAACGCGCGAUUGCUGUUGCAGAGGAGCUUGCGGGAUUUCUGAGGACGGAAGCUAUAAAAGACAAAGGACGAUUUAGUGUAGCUAAGGGCCAUUACUGAUGUUUGUCCAUGUAAUCGAAUAGAUGGGCUCUAGUCCCGAUAAUUCAGAUCUCCAUAUAAUUGUAUAUAUAUGAUCGCUUGUAAGAUAAGUUAAUCUUAUAUAUAUGCAUAAUUAUUUCUAUUUUAAAUUACAUAAAACUAAUUCCCAAAUACCAAACAAGGCAUCACGUUAAUCUCCUGAACACCUAAACCCUAAAACCCUAAAACCCAAAAAUAAUUUCAUUCAAAAAAAACCCAAAACCCAGCAAAAUCUGAAAAUCUUUAGUCCCGGUCCGUGUAACGAACCGGGACUAAAGGGCUUGCCCCUGGGGCGCUACGAGGCGCCCACGUGGAGCACCUUUAGUCCCGGCUUGUAAGAUGGCCGGGACGAAAGGUUAGGCCUUUAGUCCCGCCCCUUUAGUCCCGGUUGGUGAACCGGGACUAAAGCCCCUUACGGGCCGGGGCUAAAGGCCCCGUCCCCACUAGUGUUAAUGAACAACUUAACGAGUUUCAUGAGUAACACGUUAAGCUUGUUAGUGAAACACAACAUACAUUCUNNNNNNNNNNNNNNNNNNNNNNNNNNNNNNNNNNNNNNNNNNNNNNNNNNNNNNNNNNNNNNNNNNNNNNNNNNNNNNNNNNNNNNNNNNNNNNNNNNNNUGACAUUGUAUUAUGUCAACAAUCCGUGUAUGGCGGGAAAAGUCUGGGAAGAAUGCCUGGGUAACCGGGUAAAGCUGACAUUGUAUUAUGUCAACAAUCCGUGUAUGGCGGGAGAAAUUUUGGCAAAGGCCUUGUCCUGUAUGACAGGAGAAAGUUAUGAUGACUCAUGUGCGGUUAAUGUUCCCACUAUGGAAUAAAAGUAUGGAGUAGCUAUGAAGCUUUCCUAGUAUCGACCGUACACCUUAUGUGUAACGGUCAUUAUGCAAUCACUAAAUCCAGAAAGGAUAAAAGUAACAAACGAACCUAAAGACAAGAAUGAUAUGCAAGGGUGACUUGCAAAAGAGACAAUGAUAAAGAACUCUGUUGAGUUUCGGAAAUGAAAUGAGGAAAAAGUAUUCCCAUACCAGUUAACUUAUAACUUCAUUUUACAUGAAGUGACAAGAUGAAUGAGCUAGAUAAUCGAAGUUUCCUCAUUUCACAAGAGCUAUGAAUGGGUUUCGAAAUUGUGGCAGAAAAGUUCUUGCCACAUUUCGAGGGGGAGAAAGAGACAUGAAAUACAUUGUAAUGUAUUUCAUGACUCCUCUGUACUUUAGAUGAUGUGAUGCACAUUAUGCAUCCAAAGUGAUCCAUUAAUGAAGAAUGUGAUUGUCAAGGGGAGUACGACAGUCAACUGAAUACCGUCAUUAUGAUACCCCUAAAGAAAAGAAACAGUUGUAUUUUUGGAUCUUUUAUAGUUCCGAAAGCAGACUAAGGAAUACAACAGUGGUGCUUAAAGUGCCAUAAGGAAGAAGGUUUAAAGAUACGCCAUUUCUUUAGUGAAGAUGGAGUAAUCUGGGGGAGCAUGUUGUAUGACCUAUACAACACCUGUUGUUAGCUCUACAAGGGAUCUUGUGAUACAGGUCCCUGUAAAACCUAUUGCCUUUUGGAAAUGGGUGACUAUAGAAUUAAUUUGCCUCUUGGCAAUGACAGAGCAACGACAACCCCAUAUGAUAGAAGUGCCAGUACCUGAGAUUUUGAUGGUCUCUAGGAAUGUGAAAAUCAGAUACUUGUGACUACUAUAAAGUCUAUGUUAGUNNNNNNNNNNNNNNNNNNNNNNNNNNNNNNNNNNNNNNNNNNNNNNNNNNNNNNNNNNNNNNNNNNNNNNNNNNNNNNNNNNNNNNNNNNNNNNNNNNNNNNNNNNNNNNNNNNNNNNNNNNNNNNNNNNNNNNNNNNNNNNNNNNNNNNNNNNNNNNNNNNNNNNNNNNNNNNNNNNNNNNNNNNNNNNACUAACAUAGACUUUAUGAAGGGUCUACAAGGCAAAUGUGACUCCAAAGGAAAUAUGUAAAUGUGUGAAACAUGACUUAAAUCGAAAGAUUUUGUGCAAAGAAAAUGAGAGGACAAUUGCAUUCAUGCAAAGUUAUAGAAUGGGAAAUUCGUUUCCCAAUUCCUGUGCAUGUGGGAUGACGUCCUACUUGCUAGUGGUGAUGUCAAUUCUAGUGCAGGAGGAGAGAAGAAGUUCCUGUCCUCAGAGUUCAAAAUAAUAAAAGGGGGUAUUAGGAAUGUCGCAUGAAAAUGCUAAGAAAGAUUUCUAAAGUAUGCAUACGUGAAAACCUAUGCCUGUUCUUAUAGUCAAGGGUAAUGGAACUCGAAACUAUGGUGUUUUCAAAAGUUAAUAAGAAAAGAUUGUAAACCAAUAUGGUACCAUAUGCUUCAGUUGUUGGAAGCUCAAGAUAUUACCCUGACACAGUUCACGUAUANNNNNNNNNNNNNNNNNNNNNNNNNNNNNNNNNNNNNNNNNNNNNNNNNNNNNNNNNNNNNNNNNNNNNNNNNNNNNNNNNNNNNNNNNNNNNNNNNNNNUUUUGUGUGUUCAAAAUUCACCAUUAAAAGGCACAUCACAAAGGGAUUUCUUCUUCUCUCAUAUAUGGUGGACACUAGCUCACCUGAUUUUUCAACCGUCGAUGAUGGUCGCUACUCCUACUUCCCCUAGUGCAUAACCAAUAUCUAGCACAAGGAGAAGAAGGAGAAGCGACCCCCACAACAAAAGUGGUUCCGCGGCACGCCACGUGGUUCCGCUGCACGCCACGUGGGACUAAUGGUCUUUCAUUUUUAAAUGAUUGUUUUAAUCAAAAACAGAUCUGUUACAAAAGGGAUUUCAUUUUUUGAACUUAUUUGAACCGAAGACUUUUUGUAUAUAUAUGUGGUCGAAAUGCAUGAUACCAUGAAGUUAGAAAGGGAUAAACCAUUCAAAAGUAGCAAAUGAAGUUAGAAAGAGCUAAACCAUUCAAAUUUGGAAACUAUAAUGGCACAAACAGAAACUAGACAUAUAUAAAUUGGUCCAAGAAGUACAUGAUACUAGCCCAAACAAAACAUAAUAAUAGCUACCAUAGAUAUAUAUACAAGUGUUCGACGUUCAGAACACUACUCGUCUGAAUCAUCUAAAUCAGAAUGUCCACGUUCCUCGAGGUGACGCUGGCCAUAGUUGACGACUCGAAUCUUGCGGUACAACUCGUAUGAAACGUAUGCAUCUUUUGCUGCAUACUCAAUGUUGAUAUCAUCAAGUGGGCCCUUCUCCCAAAGUUUGCGCUGAUACAUAAUACUAUAUGACUCGUCGAUCAAGGCAACUGCCAUAUGAGCCAUCAAAGUCCUGUCAUGUCGAAGCCUGAAUAUCGUUUGGAGAUCAGCGAGGCAACCAACUGGUAUCUCAAUACCGAAGUUGUGCCUCAUCUUUAGCUUGUCGUUCCUUAUUUCAACGGAAGCAGAAGUGACGCCGUUGCGAAGGAACUCCAUGAGUCCUGGACAAUGCUUGUCACUCCUGCAACAGAAACAAAUUAAAAUGGAAAAAAUGUUACAUACUGCUGCAAUAAGGAAACAUGUUUCACAACAACUAAAGAGAAACUUAUCUUUAGGAUUCAAAUAGAACAUAUGCAAUGGAACCUAGAGAGAUCACUAUAGCUAUCCAAUGGAACCUAGAGAGAUCACUAGCUAUAUGCAAUUUUCAUGACUAUGACAUAUCAUAUUGCUAUCCAAUGGAACCUAGAGAGAUCACUAGCUAUAUUUAAUUUUCAUAACCUUGGAUCAAAGAACACCGCAUAAAAUUGUAUCACUACAACUAUGAUUUCAAUGGAACAUAUUGAACCAAUCAGAUUUUUCAGAUUAUGGAACACUAUUCCAAUCAGAUUGUGUUCCCUUCAACUAAUCAAAAUUGUUUCACUACAACUAUUUGAAGCGAACCAACUAUGAUUCCAAUGGAACAUAUUAAACACUAGUUCAUUCUAAUAAGAUUUUUCAGAUUAUGGAACACUAUUCCAAUCAGAUUGUGUUUCCUUCAACUAAUCAAAAUUAUUUCACUACAACUAUUUNNNNNNNNNNNNNNNNNNNNNNNNNNNNNNNNNNNNNNNNNNNNNNNNNNNNNNNNNNNNNNNNNNNNNNNNNNNNNNNNNNNNNNNNNNNNNNNNNNNNACUCAAGACGAGUCAAGCCUCUGGUGUUUCUGUACCAUCCCAAGAUCAUGCUGGUACACACACAGUACAUAAUGUAUAUAUUCAAGAGUGCAAUCACACAGCUUUAUUAAUCAAAAUCUCAUAAAGAGUACUUUAUUACAAUAAAGGAGUACAAUAAAGUGGCUGAAGGCCAACUCAUGAGAUUAUCUAACGAAGACUAAGCGGAAGCAUCAGGUAGACGAGUCCAUUCGAUUCCAAGGGCAUGUCGCUGAGCGUAGAAUCAUAGCCUCACUCCUGGUCGGAAAAAUACUCUGCAACAUGAUACGUUGCAGCCGUGUAGGUCAGCAUAUUGAAUAUGCCGGCAAAACAUCAAAGAGAGGGGGGUAAAAUAAUAAUCAUCUAUCUCUACAUGCAUAUUUGGCCGGUGGAGCUAGUUUUGCAUAAAGCCAGUUUUAUCCUACAACAAAAGGGGUUGAAAGCAAAAUUUACUACAAUGUUUGUUGUUAACGAGAUGGUUCCGCCAACCAGUUCUCGUACCCGAAUAGUUGUUAACACCCACAUCAUUAUUAAGUUGUGUCGAGAGUUCAGGGGAAAUUCAAUGCCUUCGGCUCAAGUUGUCCAUGACCGUGGACACGGCUAAUCGAUUAGGUUGAGUACUCUGCAGAGUUUUGCACACGUUCCCCAAAAGAUUUGAUCGCCUCCGGGUUUGUCCUCGCACUUCAGGGUGUUUGAAGACCAGAUGAUCAAAACAUGGUCUUUCAACGGGUCCCUCUGAAUCCCUGUCAGUGCCCAUCCAUUCCUACCGUUCGUCUACAUCUGCUAGCACCGCCUGUCCAGAGUCGCCGCGUUGUCCAACCAAGCCAGAGCCCAUAAUGACUUGUGGCUGUGCAGGUAAGCCUUGAGUCUUGAAGUCUCCGUCCGUCUCUUCGAGCCUAGGUGAAGCUUUCCGCAGGAUGACAUGGCCUCUCCAGCAUCCCGGGCAUCCACUGGGUUUUCCAGGGAGCCGAUCAACCGUCCUUCACGCAGAGUUGCAUUGCGUCCAAGGUCUUGAAAAUCUUGUCUUAGUCCGGUCUUGAUUAUUAUAUCAACCUUGCAUCACUCGUGGUAUACACUCAACCAAUAACCCGUCUACUCAAGCAUAGCAAAUAUAACAUUGUCGUCCCGGGGCCAAGUGUCGGGGUUGUUGUGUUCCUACCACAUGAUACUACAUCUUAUGCUAAAGUUUCCAAGUACCUAGGCAGCAUGCAAAUUGGGNNNNNNNNNNNNNNNNNNNNNNNNNNNNNNNNNNNNNNNNNNNNNNNNNNNNNNNNNNNNNNNNNNNNNNNNNNNNNNNNNNNNNNNNNNNNNNNNNNNNGACACAGUUCACGUAUAGGUCCCCACAAAUUUAUUGCCUAUGAAGUUCAAUUGAUCUACAAGUUAAUAACAGUUUUUAUUAUACCACGAGUGAAUACCUAUUGUUUAUAGGACCAACAUAUAAUUCAUGCAAAUUACCAAUUGCUAUUCAACUCUCUAAAGAAUAUAAGUUAAGCAAGAGAGUCCAAAUAUUUUCUAUAAAAGCAAGUUAUUUCGUCGUGCUCUAACAUUUAUAAUUGAUGUGCAAGAGCAAUUCUAAAAAUGCCUCAACUCAAAAGAUAUAAGUGAAAGAUCGAAGAACAUUCUACAAAUAUAAGACCAAUGUGUUUCUUUGUGAAGAUGUAUUACCAGAAUAUAUUGAUUGCAAAGAUCAGAAAACAUAAUCAAAAUGAUGCUCCAAGCAAAGCACAUAUCGUAUGAACAAAUUAAAACAUAGGCCCAACCAAGACAUAGUAAUAGUUAUCUUUGCUAUCAUUAUCACUAUAUUAUUUUAAUCUUGUAACUCACAAGAACAAGGGGAGUAACGCCCCCCUUGACUUUGUUCGGUGCAAGCAUUUGUUGUGUUUGUGUGCAGGUGUUGCUAACGUUGUUAGUGUGGUGUGUCAUACUAGUUCGAUAAACCUUGGUUCUUAACCGAGGAAAAUACUUUCUAUUAUUGUUCUACAUCAAUCUUCCUCUUUGAGGAGAUCCAAUACCUCCUUUGGGAGACGCGGUAGGAACCGGUUCUUGGCCUCACAAUCAACUUAUGUGGCGGCACAUCGACAUCCCGUAUCGAGGUCAGUCGACAAGGGGAUGCUAAGUGGAUCGAUGUCGGGAGCUCACACGUGGGCCACCACUGUCAUAUGCUACUCCGGAGGAUGUGUGGAUACAUAAUGGAGGGUUGUAGUACUUAACAGAGGGGUGGAGGUCGGGUAGUCAUUUCAACCGACGGGUGAGUACAAAUCGCGAGGAAAUCGCGGGGGUGAGUGCACUAGUAGAAAAUAGGGCUUCGUCCGGAGCAUUGUCCCGGUCUGGUUUUGGAUCAGGAUUAUGUGACCACUAAUCCAGGUUCCAAAGGCCAGGCUUUAGACCCGGUUCAUUUGUGACCUUUAGUCCCGGNNNNNNNNNNNNNNNNNNNNNNNNNNNNNNNNNNNNNNNNNNNNNNNNNNNNNNNNNNNNNNNNNNNNNNNNNNNNNNNNNNNNNNNNNNNNNNNNNNNNGCUUAUUAGAGGAAGGAAAAAUAGGUUUUUCUAGGCAUUUUUUCUAUGAAACUAUGUUUACAAAAAUAGAAAUUAAAAAUGUUCAAAGUUUCUGUGAUUUUAUGCAGAAUUGCAACAUUAUUUUUUUGAAAAGAAAAACAAAAGUUCUGAAAAUAGAAGGAGAUUUUCAGAAAAAGAAAAGUUCAUGAAUUUUAUAAAAAGCAUUAUAAAGUUCAUGAAUUUUUAAUUAUGACAGAAUAUUUUUCUGUAAUAGUAACAUGUUUUUUCUGCAAAGAAAAAUAAAAGGUUAUGAAAAUAAAAGAAAUAUUUUCAGAAAGAGAAAAGUUCAUGGAUUUUAUAAAAGGAAAAUAAUGUUCAUGAAUUUUUAUUUUUAACAGAAUAUUUUUCUGUAAAGGUGCAUGAAUUUAAUAUUCACGCUUUUCCGCUGCAAAGUAAAUGUUUAAUCCUCCAAUUAAAUUGAAACGAACGGGAAAAUUUAAUUGGAAGAACAGUUAUUAACAAAGUUUUUUCCUUGUGGGUGAAAUAAGAUUCAAACAGUUUCCGCUAUGACAAUAUAAUGAUGAUUGUUUUAAAGUUAAAUGUGGUAUUGUCAUUUUCUGACCAACGUUGAUGAUAACAAUACUAUAAUUGUAUGAGUCAUCCUAUGUUUAAAGCUUAAAUAUCUGGUAAAUUUUGUAUCAAAGUGAUCAAUUUUUCGGAGCACAGAUAAAGAAAUGCAUAUGGUUAAUGAUGAUGAUGAUUAUUUCUUAGCAAAGUUGUUCANNNNNNNNNNNNNNNNNNNNNNNNNNNNNNNNNNNNNNNNNNNNNNNNNNNNNNNNNNNNNNNNNNNNNNNNNNNNNNNNNNNNNNNNNNNNNNNNNNNNAUUGUGGAGAAGUUUUUAGGUUUAGUGACUGAUAAAUUCACGUACAUCAUCGGCACGCUCGAGCAACUUUACGACAUCGACGACAUGACCAUAACGGAGGCGAUUGGACGCUUGCGGACAUGGGAAGAGAAUGCUCGUGGCUGUCGGGAAGGCAAAGGAGGAGGUAGUGACCAACUCAAGUACUCGCGCGCAGAUUGGGAGGCCCCAAGUAGCAAAGGAAGGCGUGAUGGUGGCGAAGGCUCAAGAAACACGAAGGGCGAUGGACAAACCGGAAAAGGCAAACCACAAGGUCGUGGUAAGGCGGGCCAAUCUAAAGAGCAGAAGCCACGGAACUUGGACUUGUCCGAGGUCAAGUGCUAUAACUACAAUAAAGAUGGGUCACUUUGCGUUGUCCGAAGCCUAACAAACGGGAGAUCAAGGCAAAUUUGGCAAAGCAGGAAGACGAAGGUCCAGGUCUUCUGAUGGCCGAAUUUUGUGAUCUCGCUGAAACGGUGGUUGUGAAACCAAGCCGAAAGGUGCUACUUCAUGAGAAGAAAGUGACACCGAAGUUAUCUGGUGAUCAGAACGUGUCAUGGUAUCACGACAUGGGUGCCAGUAACCACAUGACGGGGUGCAAGGAGAAAUUCAUCGAGUUGGAAUACGAUGUUCAAGGCUCGGUCAAGUUCGGUGAUGGUUCAGCUGUGGAGAUUUGCGGGCAAGGAUCUGUCCUAUUCGAGGGUCUCACAGGCGAACAUCGCAUACNNNNNNNNNNNNNNNNNNNNNNNNNNNNNNNNNNNNNNNNNNNNNNNNNNNNNNNNNNNNNNNNNNNNNNNNNNNNNNNNNNNNNNNNNNNNNNNNNNNNGACAUAAUACAAUGUCAACUUUACCCGGUUACGCACACAUUCUGCCCAGACUUUUCCCGCCAUGCGGGUAAUUCCCUUUAAGGGACAUAAAUGCCAUAAUUGGCUCUUUUGACUGCAUCAAAUUCAGAAAUAAAUCUGAAUUAUCUUUGACACACACGUUUGAUCCGACGUUGGUCAAAUUCAACAUGCAUGUUGCUUGUUUCAUUUCAAUCAUGUUGACUAAAAAAAGGAGACUUCAUCAUAGAGAGUACAUGAAAGACAUUCGUCAAUCAAGACUCUCAAUGAUUUAUCUCUUUUCUUUUCUUGAAUUAAUAUCCAAGAGUUCUUUUCUUGUGAAGCCAUUCUUUAGAGAGAAUUUAUUCCCUCAAGUUAUGACCUUUAUUUUCCAUAUUUCGGGUCACUAGUACCCAAAACAUUCGCUUUCAUGAGUGAAGGCUUGAAUAACUUUUAGUCUGAGAAAACUUAGCCAAUAAACAGUGGUAAUGAGCAUAAAAACAACCCUACGUUGGUCAUAUUAAAAUCAUGCACAUUAAACCUUUUAAAACUUUCUGGAAUAUUCUAAAUCACCGUGGUGGCAGAAUUAGAAUAAAACAUCAUCCUUCUACAUUAAUUCCAUAUCACCGUUGGACAGAAAUGGAAAUAAUGCAUAUAACUCAUAAACAAUGUGAUGAUAGUAUUCUUAUUGAACAACUUUGCUAAGNNNNNNNNNNNNNNNNNNNNNNNNNNNNNNNNNNNNNNNNNNNNNNNNNNNNNNNNNNNNNNNNNNNNNNNNNNNNNNNNNNNNNNNNNNNNNNNNNNNNGCAUGCAAGCUUUACCUUCUGGCCCUGAUGCACGCUGGCAUGGCCGUGAGAUUCCAGCUGGCUUUGCUAAAGUCGGGGUGGAUGAAAUCAUGACGGGGUUUAAUGAUAUGGAGCUCGACAUAGCUGGACCCGAAGAUGAGAGGACACUCGGAGAAGUACUGGGUGGAGUCAUCCUAUGGGACAAGAACUACAUCAAGCUUCCAGGCUCGGCCCCAAUGACAACACCGCCUCCGAGUCGUCGCAGGUCACCUACACCUCCAUUACCUCCAAGCCCUCCACAUGACGUCAGCCAGCACAACACGAGUCCAUCUCGAUCACCGCCGCCGGACUUGGGUCGUCCGUCUCCGCCGCCGCCCGCACAUGAUACUAAGCGGAAGCGUGCCAGCAAGAACGCUCCGUCGAUGAUUUCUAAGCGACGGAGCUCCCCAAAGCGCAAACUGUCGCCCCUCCCAAAGGUACCUCAUGCUAAUCUUCCUACCAGACCUUAUGAUCGUACCCCCGAGGAAAACACCAGGAUAGCAAAGGAACAGCAUGAUACACGGAUGAAAAAGAAGGAACCCGAGCCCCGCCCGGAAUACACCGAGAAGCAAAUAGCAUGGGCAAAAGACUUCACAACCCUUCCAUCACAGUAUGACUUACACUAUAAGCCUGAUGACUAUACACGCACAUUGCAGAAGGAAGUGAAGAAGAGCAGCUCACGUGCAAGUGCAAGUGGGAGCAAAUCAAGUUCAACUACAAGCAAGAAAAAAUCAGACGUUCCUCAGCUUGGACAACAGGCCAAACAGUCGAUCCCACCCCUCAAGGUGUUAAACGAGAAUGUUCCCCCUCCGGUGCAGGGGCAAGAUUUUGAAAGAGCAAAGGAGUUGGCGGCUGAAUGUGGUAUCUCGGUUGAAGAUUUGCUGGCUUCCCAAGACGACAGGAUACCCAAGGCUGUGGUAGCCCCUAAGCCACAGUUUGUCAUGGGAGAGCCUUUGGUCAGCAAAGAUGAUCUCCCAACAAAUAUGCGUUACUUGCAUAAAUGAUACUUAAGAGAAUCAAAGAAUGGGAGAACGAUGAUCAUGCUGAGUGUCCCACGGGAGUACUACGGCUGCUCCGAAGAAAUCCAUAUCGACUUUGAUGAACUCUUCCAUAUGUACAAUGGCGACGCCCUCGACAAAUCGCUUAUGAGUUGCUAUUGUCUGUAAGUUUUUCAAUUCGUUGUCUACAUAUAACUUGUUUAGUUAUUUCAAUUCAUUGUCUAUAUAUAACUUGUACUCUAUUAUGCAGAAUGAAGAUUCUGGAUUGUAAAAGUAAGAGCAUCCUAAAUAUUGGGUUUAUUGACCCAGAUAAAAUACAUAUAGCGACGCUAACUGAUAAACCCAAGGAGACGGAGGAAAACCUUCUAAGGUUUCUAAUAGAUCAAAAUUUAUGUGACCACAUACUGUUUCCAUACAACUUCAGGUGAGGGUCUUUACUCUGUUGUAUCCAUUCACUUAUAAGUGUAAUUGAUAAGUUACUGACACACACACACACACACAUAUAUAUAUAUAUAUACAUGUGCAGCUUCCAUUGGAUUCUGUUGGACAUUCAAAUUGAUAAGGGAAGAGUUGAUACCUUCGACCCAUUAUCGAGACCCUUGGAACAGUUCCAAAGCCUGCAGGACAUGCUCCAAGGAUAAUUUUAAUCAUUCUUGUGCUCUAUCGGUCUCUUUCGAUGAUUUUCUGAUAUAUCAAUUAAUGAAAAACUUAGCAAAUCAUUAUCCUUGUCGGGCAGGGUUUGGAAGCGGUUCAAGUGCGUGACUCCCGGUAACUUUCCUGAGAAGCUGACCUUUAGAGCGGCUCAGGUAAAUAGUAGUAUGAUAUACUUCUAUUAAUUUUAAAUACAUUUAUGAUGCUAGAUUAUUAUUUUGAUUAUAUAUAUUCUAUUCUCAUAAAGUGCGACCAGCAGCCACGGGGAAUGCAUCUAUGCGGAUACUAUGUUUGCGAGACCAUUCGCACGUUUACCUCUGAGCUCAAGGAUCACAGAUUCGACGUAAGCAAUGAACAUUCACACCUCUAUUUUUACCCGUCAUUCUUUGUUAUCAUGAUUGAUAUUCAUAUUCAUAUCCUCUUCUUAUAUAGCACACGGUCAUGAGGACGAAGGUCCUACCAGAGCAACGCGCGAUUGCUGUUGCAGAGGAGCUUGCGGGAUUUCUGAGGACGGAAGUUAUAGAGCUCAAAGGACGAUUUAGUGUAGCUAAGGGCCAUUACUGAUGUUCGUCCAUGUAAUCGAAUAGACGGGCUCUAGUCCCGAUAAUUCAGAUCUCCAUAUAAUUGUAUAUAUAUGCUCGCUUGUAAGAUAAGUUAAUCUUAUAUAUAUAUAUAUAUAUAUAUAUAUAUAUAUAUAUAUAUAUAUAUAUAUGCAUAAUUAUUUUUAUUUAAAUUAUAUGAAAACUAAUUCCCGAACACCAAACCAGGCAUCACGUUAAUCUCCCGAACACCUAAACCCUAAAACCCUAAAACCCAAAAAUAAUUUCAUUCAAAAAAAACCCAAAACCCAGCAAAAUCUGAAAAUCUUUAGUCCCGGUCCGUGUAACGAACCGGGACUAAAGGGCUUGCCCCUGGGGCGCUACGAGGCGCCCACGUGGAGCACCUUUAGUCCCGGCUUGUAAGAUGGCCGGGACGAAAGGUUAGGCCUUUAGUCCCGCCCCUUUAGUCCCGGUUGGUGAACCGGGACUAAAGCCCCUUACGGGCCGGGGCUAAAGGCCCCGUCCCCACUAGUGUUAAUGAACAACUUAACGAGUUUCAUGAGUAACACGUUAAGCUUGUUAGUGAAACACAACAUACAUUCUUAUCUUAUUGUUAGUACAACACAACGGAUAUUCUUAUCUUAUGUGACAAUAUUUUCUGGUACCUCAACCCAUCCUAAGUUCCUAACCCAUAGGAUGCAACAAAUCAAUGUACCUCCUCAUGUAGUCACAAUCUUCCUUUGAAAAAAUUCACCCGCACUCUCAUGUUGCAGACCAUAACAUAUCAUACUAUGUUAGUGAUCAUAUUACGAGCUUAAUGAGCAUUAAAUGAACAAAACCACAUUAGCUUGUUAAGCUUAACGAGCUUAAUAAGCCGAGCCUUAACGAGCACAAGCCGAGCAGCACAUUAAUCCACUACUAACCCCGAUUGGAGUUAUUUCUUUCUUACACAAUGGCCAUCAGAAAGAAACAACAAAAUUUGUAAAAUAAAAAUCAAAGGGAUGUCGUGGGGUUCCGAAGAGUGACUCGGUUCGAGCCCACGCAUAUUAGUUGCUAGCCAAUUGAUCACAUCACCUUUUCUAUCAUCUCUUGAUUCAUAUGCUUUAUAUACAUUAUAAUGAACAACAUAAACUAGAGAAAUUUAAUUUUAAAAAAAAUAGUAUCGGGGCCUGUCAUUCGAACAUCCCACAAACGGUAAUAAAGGAGCCACAUAUACCACACCAAUCAACAAGGUCUCAUGUUUUUAAACUGUAAUUAGACUUUAUGACUGUAUAACAAACUUAAUUUAAAAGGUUUUUAUAAUGUUCAUGGCAUUUUAAAAUUAAUCCACCUCUCAUUCUAAAAUAUUUUAAAACAUACUCAUAUAUUUUUAAAAUAUUUAUGAAUAAAACGGUGAACUUAUUUCAUAAACUCAUGUGCAUUCAUCUAAAAGAUGUAUAUUUAUGAAUUCACACGUUUAAUUAUAUUAAUUUUAUGAAAUUUAUUCAUAAAAUUAGGAAAACAAACAAAAAAUUUAUAUACUUCUUCCGUUCCUUUAUAUAAGGUGUAUAUAUUAAAGCAUACUUUUUUUUUAAAUAGCAUAAAGUUUUUUAAAUUAUGAACACUUUAUAUACUACAUGAAUAUUUUAUUAAAAAACUUGGAAAUAUUUAAACCUAUAUAAGUAUUUAUUUAAAUACACAAACCUUUCUAAUUACUUUAAUAUAUUAGUAAAUAUGCUAACACUUUUUAAAUUAUAAAUUUAUUUUCAUAUUUCAUGAUUGAAUUAUGUAUAUUUUUGUUAAAUUGUUGUGUCAAUAUUUUAUGAAAGUAUACGAACUUUAUUAAUGUAACUUAUUUUAAUUAUAUGCAUAUUAUUUAUUGUACACAAUUAUAAUUUACAAAAAAUUAAAAGAAAAAAAAAUCAACAUGUUGAAAGUGGUCACGCGAGAGCUUUUUGUUAUAAUAAGAAAUGUAUCCCAUUAAACAUGAGACUUUGUUAGUUGGUGCGGUAGUUGUGGCUGCUCCAAACCCUCAGGCAUCACAGUAACAAGUGACACUAAAGAAAAUCAAUAAAAAUGCUCCUAUUGAAAAAAGAUUUCAGAGGCCUCUUUACACACAAGGUUGAUUUCUUUUGUUUUUGACCAGUUUCACUAAUCUAUUCUUCUAUCAUGAAUUGUGGGAACUCCCUACUCUUUUCAUGUUAAAAAAAUAAAAAGAAAUAGGUGGCAGUGCAGUGAAUGAAAGAAUAAAAUGCUUCUAUUUCAAAAUAAAAAAGAUUUUUAAAGACUUAUUACGUGCAAAGUUAAUUCCCGACACACGAGAAGAUACCAUUCCAAUGUCUGCUUCGCUUGGAAAGCCUGAAAGUGCUCAUAUCAUCCGGAUGAGCGAGCCCGCACGCAAACAAGAUGCCAUGGAUCAUUCUUGUUGUGUGCAGCCCACACUGCAAAUAUAUGAACUUGCUUUGGUUUAUAAUAAUGCAUGCAUAUUGCAUGUACGCGCGGAUGCUAUCCUAGCCGAGAGUCCAGCUAUAAAUACAUAGACGUUUUACACGGUAAACUACCAUUGUCUGUAGUUCAGCUUGCACGGAACAACGCUUAUAGGGCUUAUGGGGUGAUGGAAGAUUCACCUUCACUUUUAUUUGGGCAUCUAUGAGAUUUUGGAGGAAACCAAAUGCAGCUUAAGGUGUAAUACAUGUUGUUCCCAUCCAUACACCCUGCAACUCGCAUUUGCGGUAGUGACCAUCAUUGAUGGGUUAAAUUUCACGCGUGCCAAAAAUUACAAAGAACAACAUUUGAGUACAAUCAUGGUGGAUUACCCAACCGCGGCAUACACAAAGGCAUGGCCGGGAUCCUCGUCUACAAGUCCCUCGUUGACAUACUCGUUGAGGAAUUCGCCAACCUUAAAAGCGGGAUCUCUAAUGUCCGUAUCAGGAGUUGGAGAUAGAAUAUUGAUGGAGAUUUUUAUAAGAAGGUAAAAUUUGAGAAAGUCACACACCAGCGUAGCUAAUAAUUAGGCAAUGGAGAGGUUUUAUAAUCGAUAUUGAUGCGAGGAGUACGGGAUGCAAUGUCACUAGAGCUAUAAGUGUAUGAGAUCUCUCCAAAUGCAACGUGGGUGUACAUUCAAAUUGCUUGCUCAUAUCCACGAGCAUUUGAGGAAGCUCAUCAUGGAAUAUGCAAGUCAAGUUCUUAUAAUGUAAAACUCCCACUAGUAUGUAAAAUGAGGAAUAUGAAAACGCUCUACAUGAAUACAUGGUGCUACUCUCAAGCACAAGUGUGUAUGAAGGAUAGUAGUGUGCCCCCUCUCUCUUUCUCUUUUCUGGGUGGGAUCUUUUGGCCUCUUUUUAUUGGGCUCAUUGGUCUUCUUUUUUUUCUUACAGAUAGAGCCACACUCUAAUUGACAUCACACUUUUAUUUACUUAUGAUUCAUAAAUGAAAAUGAUGACUACAAAUGAAUGUCUCGGACAGUCUACCAGGAUGUGAAAUGAUAUAGCAUAACAUGUAAAAUAAUAAUGAACAGUGUCCUUGCCACAACUAUCAUGUCAGCUCUAUAUAUGAUCAUGCAAAGAGAAUGGCAAUAAAAAUAAUUAUUGUAAUGUAACAAUGGAAGUUCCAUGACAAUGUAUCUUAAAAUGUUUAUGAAAAUACCAUAAUAGAUAGGUAUGAUGAUUGUUUUGAGGAGAAAAGUGUUUUAUUUGCAG
rnacentral:lncRNA from 1 species